UCCGUAGUAGUGUAGGGGUUGUACGUUAUUCCAAUUCAUUCGCUAGACACACUUCCUAACAAAUCCCAGAACAUACUCCGCUUUCAAGAAUUUCAUAUGAUUCCGAAGAGCCGGAGAGCCCCGGGUUCGAUUCCCGGCUAUGGAA